GAUGAACGCUAGCUACAGGCUUAACACAUGCAAGUCGAGGGGCAGCAUGGUCUUAGCUUGCUAAGGCCGAUGGCGACCGGCGCACGGGUGAGUAAAACGUAUCCAACCUGCCGUCUACUCUUGGACAGCCUUCUGAAAGGAAGAUUAAUACAAGAUGGCAUCAUGAGUCUGCAUGUUCACAUGAUUAAAGGUAUUCCGGUAGACGAUGGGGAUGCGUUCCAUUAGAUAGUAGGCGGGGUAACGGCUCACCUAGUCUUCGAUGGAUAGGGGUUCUAGGGGGAACGGGCCUCACAGUGUAACUGGGAAACUGUCCAAAGUCCUACGGCACGCAGCAGUGCGGAAUAUUGGUCAAUGGGCGCAUGCCUGAACCAGCCAAGUCGCGUGAAGGAUGGCUGCCUUAUGGGUUAUAAACUUCUUGUAUAAAGGAAUAAAGGCGGGUAAGUAUGCCUGUUUGCAUGUACUGGAUGAAUAAGCAUCGGCUAACUCCGUG
rnacentral:rRNA from 1 species